UACGUAGGCAGCGAGCGUUGUUCGGAAUUACUGGGCGUAAAGAGUGUGUAGGCGGUGCUCUAAGUUCGGUGUGAAAUCUCCUGGCUCAACUGGGAGGGUGCGCCGGAAACUGGAGUGCUUGAGCGUGGGAGAGGAAAGCGGAAUUCCUGGUGUAGCGGUGAAAUGCGUAGAUAUCAGGAGGAACACCUGUGGUGUAGACGGCUUUCUGGACCAUAACUGACGCUGAGGCACGAAAGCGUGGGUAGCAAACAGG
rnacentral:rRNA from 1 species